rnacentral:rRNA from 1 species
GACGAACGCUGGCGGCGUGCCUAACACAUGCAAGUCGAGCGAGUGAAUCUCCUUCGGGAGUGAAGCUAGCGGCGGACGGGUGAGUAACACGUGGGCAACCUGCCUCAUAGAGGGGAAUAGCCUCUCGAAAGGAAGAUUAAUACCGCAUAAGAUUGUAGCUUCGCAUGAAGUAGCAAUUAAAGGAGCAAUCCGCUAUGAGAUGGGCCCGCGGCGCAUUAGCUAGUUGGUGAGGUAACGGCUCACCAAGGCGACGAUGCGUAGCCGACCUGAGAGGGUGAUCGGCCACAUUGGGACUGAGACACGGCCCAGACUCCUACGGGAGGCAGCAGUGGGGAAUAUUGCACAAUGGGGGAAACCCUGAUGCAGCAACGCCGCGUGAGUGAUGACGGCCUUCGGGUUGUAAAGCUCUGUCUUCAGGGACGAUAAUGACGGUACCUGAGGAGGAAGCCACGGCUAACUACGUGCCAGCCGCCGCAGUAAAAC